UGAUCCAGCCAUGCCGCGUGUGUGAAGAAGGUCUUCGGAUUGUAAAGCACUUUAAGUUGGGAGGAAGGGCAGUAAGCUAAUACCUUGCUGUUUUGACGUUACCGACAGAAUAAGCACCGGCUAACUCUGUGCCAGCAGCCGCGGUAAUACAGAGGGUGCAAGCGUUAAUCGGAAUUACUGGGCGUAAAGCGCACGCAGGCGGUUUAAUAAGUCAGAUGUGAAAUCCCUGCGCUUAACGUGGGAAUGGCAUUUGAAACUAUUAGACUAGAGUCUUGUAGAGGGGGGUAAAAUUCCAGGUGUAGCGGUGAAAUGCGUAGAGAUCUGGAGGAAUACCAGUGGCGAAGGCGGCCCCCUGGGCAAAGACUGACGCUNUGACACUGAGGUGCGAAAGCGUGGGGAGCACACAGGAUUAGAUACCCUGGUAGUCCAUGCUGUAAACGAUGUCGAUUUGGAGGUUGUAUCCUUGAGAUGUAAUUUCCGAAGCUAACGCAUUAAAUCGACCGCCUGGGAAGUACGGCCGCAAGGUUAAAACUCAAAUGAAUUGACGGGGGCCCGCACAAGCGGUGGAGCAUGUGGUUUAAUUCGAUGCAACGCGAAGAACCUUACCUACUCUUGACAUCCAGAGUACUUUUUAGAAAUAAAAAGGUGCCUUAGGGAUCUCUGAGACAGGUGCUGCAUGGCUGUCGUCAGCUCGUGUUGUGAAAUGUUGGGUUAAGUCCCGCAACGAGCGCAACCCUUAUCUUUUGUUGCCAGCGAUUAGGUCGGGAACUCAAAAGAGACUGCCGGUGAUAAACCGGAGGAAGGUGAGGAUAACGUCAAGUCAUCAUGGCCCUUACGAGUAGGGCUACACACGUGCUACAAUGGCAUAUACAAAGAGAAGCAACCUCGCGAGAGCAAGCGGACCUCAUAAAGUAUGUCGUAGUCCGGAUUGGAGUCUGCAACUCGACUCCAUGAAGUCGGAAUCGCUAGUAAUCGUAGAUCAGAAUGCUACGGUGAAUACGUUCCCGGGCCUUGUACA
rnacentral:rRNA from 1 species